rnacentral:tRNA from 1 species
UUUCUAAGGAUGAUCAAGAAUAGGGCUUUUAAAAAAAGUCCCUCCCUUUUUGAUCUGAUUAGACACAAAGUUUAAACAUGAGUUUGUUUAAACUGUGCAUAUGAGGCUAACUCUCAAUGAACCCCUCUCACCAAAAAGAGACCCCUCUUGAUAUUAAAGAGGAUCCCCCCCCUGUCUCUUUGAGGCCCCUACCUCGGAUGAGAGAAUUAUUUGAGGGCUUAGUGCUCAUGUGUUGAUACAAUAAAAGCAGACAUGCCGUCUUCGUUUCUCUUUCUUCAGAUGAUGAUCCCAAGCCUUCUGGCGAUCUCUUAGAACAAGCCUCGCCUGUUUUAAAAAAACAGGGCGUUUAGAUAUAUUUUUAAAUUCUUAUGAAACUUAAAAGUCAUGCAUCUAAAAAAGGCUUUAUGAAGAAAGCACUUUAAGCUUUUCCAGUAAUUUAAGAUGAUACCGGGGAAGGUUUUCCGGUUUAUCCCGGAGGGCUUGUAGCUCAGUUGGUUAGAGCGCGCGCUUGAUAAGCGUGAGGUCGGAGGUUCAAGUCCUCCCAGGCCCACCAUUUAUGCUCGUCUUUGCUUAUUCUUGAGAAUUAUGAAGUUUAAGCGUGUGAAAGCCUCUUUAAUCUUUAGUUUAUUGCAAAAGAUUUAAUUUUAUCCUUCAAAAAUUAUUUGUUAAAUUUAUCUCAUUACAUUUGUCAAACAGGGCUUCAAAUUCCCUUCAGAUUUUCUUCAAGGGAAGAGACAAAUUUAAAGGAUAAAAAUCAAAAAAUAAUACAAAUCAAUACAAGUCAAGAUAGUAUUGACCAAAAAAAUAGUAUUGAUUGAAAGAAUAGUACUGAUCAGAAGAGGACAAGUCAUUCAAGUUAAUAAAUUUUCUUGAGAUUGAUUUGAAAGAGCAUUCUUUAGGGGCCGUAGCUCAGCUGGGAGAGCACCUGCUUUGCAAGCAGGGGGUCGUCGGUUCGAUCCCGUCCGGCU